rnacentral:misc_RNA from 1 species
CAUUUUAAUAAGAUUGUUAAAAUUCAGAAAAUAAUUUUAUCUUUUGAAAAAAGGAAGUCACUUUCUUUAAAAAUAAAUUAGUAUCCCCUUUAAUGAGGGAAAUAUUAUCUGUUAACUCAUUUUUCUAAGUGCCACCAAGUGCUAGAAAAUAAAAAAUAUUUUUUGCGAAACAAAUGGAGCCUAAGUUCAUUCCUUUUCAUGUGUGUAACCCUGCCUUAAUUUUGAGGUAGUACCCCAUUGGACCUUAGUAGCAGAUUAAUAUUAUUUUUUUUUAAUGUCUUGGAAAAAAGACUUUAUAAACUGGCAUUAUGACAUAUGCUGAUGGGAGGUAGACUUUAGCAUUAUAGCAUACUCUUGCAUUUGCAUUAUUAUUGGUACUAUAUUCCUUUUUUAGUUGUUAUGCUCACAUUGCAGCACUGUUAAGAGGAGGAAAG